rnacentral:ncRNA from 1 species
AUGCAGGGGUGUCCUUUAUGGGCUGAGAGUUUUGGAUAGUGUGAUUCGAAACAACCCUUCGAACCUGAUACGGGUCAUACCGACGAAGGGAGCG